UACGAAGGGGGCUAGCGUUGCUCGGAAUUACUGGGCGUAAAGCGUGCGCAGGCGGUUUUGUAAGCCAGAUGUGAAAGCCCCGGGCUCAACCUGGGAAUGGCAUUUGGGACUGCAAGGCUUGAGUGCGGCAGAGGAGACUGGAAUUCCUGGUGUAGCAGUGAAAUGCGUAGAUAUCAGGAGGAAUACCGAUGGCGAAGGCAGGUCUCUGGGCUGACACUGACGCUCAUGCACGAAAGCGUGGGGAGCAAACAGG
rnacentral:rRNA from 1 species